UGGGAAUUUUGUGGAUUUUUGGGAAUUUUCUGGGCAUUCUCACUGGGAAUUCCGGGGGAUUUUUGGGAAUAUUUUUUGGGAAUUCUGUGGAUUUUGGGGAAUUUUCUGGGAUUUUUGGCAAUUCCAGGAUUUUUCAGUGUUAAUUCCAGGACUUUUCCUGCAGUAAUUCCAGGAAUUUUUGUGGAGAAAUCCCAGGAUUUUUUUUCCACGUGAUUUCCACGAUUUUUCUGUGGGAAUUCCGGGAUUUUUCCCGCAGGAAUUCUUGGAAUAUUUCUCUGGGAAUUCCAGGAAUUUUUCUGCAGGAAUUCUGGCAAUUUUUCUAUGGGAAUUCCAGGAGUAUUUCUCUGGGAAUUCCAGGAUUUUUUCCUUGGGAAUUCCAGGAUUUUUCCAUGUGAAUUCCAGGAUUUUUCCAUGUGAAUUCCAGGACUUUUUUUGGUGGCAAUUCCAGGAUUUUUAUUCUGGGAAUUCCAGGAUUAUUCUACAGGAAUUUCAGGAAUUUUUCUGUGAGAAUUCCAGGAUUUUUCUGUAAGAAUUCCAGAAAUAUUUUGGUGAGAAUUCCAGGAUUUUUUUGCCGAUAUUCUGUGAUUUUUUUUCGACACAAACUCUGGUAUUUUUUCAAUGUGAAUUCCAGGAUUUUUCCAUCGUGAAUUCCAGCAUUUUUCCCUGGAAAUUCUGGGAGUUUUUCUGCAGGAAUUCCAGGAUUUUUUCUGUGUGAAUUCCAGGAAUUUUUCUGCAGAAAUCCUCGGAUUUUCCCAUGGGAAUUCUAGGAUUUUUCCAUUGUGAAUUCCAGGAUUUUUUCACAGGAACUCCAGGACUUUUUCCUGUGAAUUCCAGGACAGACCUGUCACCACUCUAAAUGAGUCUGUCGAAUUCCAGGAUUUUUUCACAGAAACUCCAGGAUUUUUUCCUGUGAAUUCCAGAAUUUUUCUACGUGAAUUCCAGGAUUUUUCCACAGGAACUCCAGGAUGUUUUUUCCUGUGAAUUCCAGGAUUUUUUUCCCCUGUGAACUCCAGGAUUUUUCCACGGGAAUUCCAGGAUUUUCCAGUCACUUGUAGAGCAGGUGGACGCGGCUCCCGUCGCAAUUCCCGCGCCCCAACUUCUCGGCCUGCUCGGACACCAGGCAGCGAACCAGGCUGGUAGAAAAAACAGGAAAACCAAAGGAAAGGGGGAAAAACGAUGGGAAAAACACCCUGAAAAAGGGAAGAAAAAACAGGAAAACCAAAGGAAAGG
rnacentral:lncRNA from 12 species